GGAGGAGCUGAGUAUGAUCAGACUGUGUGAGCUUGCAGGCCUGAAGGAGUCUGUCAGAGGGAGCUUAAUUGCUUUAGCCAAAAUCAAGUUGGAGAGGUGUGUGGAGCCUCAGCCACAAACCCUGACUGUUGGGGGAUGCUUUGCUAGCAGAAAGCAGAGCUGUUGGAAACCCAGUUCCUCCUUGCAAGUGCUUCAGAAUGGGAUUCCCUUGGGAAAAUGGGGACAGAAACAUCUCUCUGAUAACAUGCUGAGGAAUGUGAGGACAAGCCGAGGCUGUGGAAUGAACCCAGGUGUGCUCCUUGAACAAGAACACCAGAGAAGUUGUUCAGUCAGCAGUUCUCUCUUUUCAUGCCAUCAAGACCCGGAACAGCUCACAGAUUGCAUGGGGUUGGAAGGGAUCCUCAAAGGAGAUGCCAGCAGAAUUUUUGCCAUGUAAAUGCCACCCAUGAAGGAGGUACAUCAAUGGUACCAACACUGUUGACCAUUGCUCUGAAAACUUGUCUCAAUCUAUCUGUAUUAAAGUCAUUUUAUAUUUGGA